rnacentral:rRNA from 1 species
UGAGUUUGAUCNUGGCUCAGAUUGAACGCUGGCGGCAGGCCUAACACAUGCAAGUCGAGCGGUAACAGAACUAGCUUGCUAGUUGCUGACGAGCGGCGGACGGGUGCGUAACACGUAGGAAUCUACCCAGUAGCGGGGGAUAGCCCGGAGAAAUCCGGAUUAAUACCGCAUACGCCCUACGGGGGAAAGCAGGGGCUCGCUCUUUCGAGAGUGACCUUGCACUAUUGGAUGAGCCUGCGUCGGAUUAGCUGGUUGGUGGGGUAAAGGCCUACCAAGGCAACGAUCCGUAGCUGGUCUGAGAGGAUGAUCAGCCACACUGGGACUGAGACACGGCCCAGACUCCUACGGGAGGCAGCAGUGGGGAAUAUUGCACAAUGGGCGAAAGCCUGAUGCAGCCAUGCCGCGUGUGUGAAGAAGGCUCUAGGGUUGUAAAGCACUUUCAGCGAGGAGGAAAGGUUGUUAGAUUAAUACUCAACAGCUGUGACGUUACUCGCAGAAGAAGCACCGGCUAACUCCGUGCCAGCAGCCGCGGUUNUNCGGAGGGUGCAAGCGUUAAUCGGAAUUACUGGGCGUAAAGCGUGCGUAGGCGGCUGCCUAAGUUGGACGUGAAAGCCCCGGGCUCAACCUGGGAACUGCAUCC